AGUGAACGCUGGCGGUAGGCCUAACGCAUGCAAGUCGAACGGCAGCACAGUAAGAGCUUGCUCUUACGGGUGGCGAGUGGCGGAUGGGUGAGGAAUACAUCGGAAUCUACUUUUUCGUGGGGGAUAACGUAGGGAAACUUACGCUAAUACCGCAUACGACCUACGGGUGAAAGCAGGGGAUCUUCGGACCUUGCGCGAUUGAAUGAGCCGAUGUCGGAUUAGCUAGUUGGCGGGGUAAAGGCCCACCAAGGCGACGAUCCGUAGCUGGUCUGAGAGGAUGAUCAGCCACACUGGAACUGAGACACGGUCCAGACUCCUACGGGAGGCAGCAGUGGGGAAUAUUGGACAAUGGGCGCAAGCCUGAUCCAGCCAUACCGCGUGGGUGAAGAAGGCCUUCGGGUUGUAAAGCCCUUUUGUUGGGAAAGAAAAGCAGCAGGUUAAUACCCCGCUGUUCUGACGGUACCCAAAGAAUAAGCACCGGCUAACUUCGUG
rnacentral:rRNA from 1 species